ACGAACGCUGGCCGCAUGCCUAACACCUGCAAGUCGAACGAGACCUUCGGGUCUAGUGGCGCACGGGUGCGUAACGCGUGGGAACCUGCCCUUAGGUUCGGAAUAACUCCCCGAAAGGGGUGCUAAUACCGGAUAAUGUCUUCGGACCAAAGAUUUAUCGCCUUUGGAUGGGCCCGCGUUGGAUUAGCUAGUUGGUAGGGUAAAAGCCUACCAAGGCGACGAUCCAUAGCUGGUCUGAGAGGAUGAUCAGCCACACUGGGACUGAGACACGGCCCAGACUCCUACGGGAGGCAGCAGUGGGGAAUAUUGGACGAGGGGCGAAAGCCUGAUCCAGCAAUGCCGCGUGAGUGAUGAAGGCCUUAGGGUUGUAAAGCUCUUUUACCCGGGAUGAUAAUGACAGUACCGGGAGAAUAAGCUCCGGCUAACUCCGUG
rnacentral:rRNA from 1 species